rnacentral:rRNA from 1 species
CCUACGGGCGGCAGCAGUGAGGAAUAUUGGUCAAUGGGCGCGAGCCUGAACCAGCCAAGUAGCGUGAAGGAUGACUGCCCUACGGAUUGUAAACUUCUUUUGUAAAGGAAUAACGUGAGGCGCGUGUGCCUUUAUGUAUGUACUUUAUGAAUAAGGCUCGGCUAACUCCGUGCCAUCCGCCGCGGUAAUACGGAGGAUCCGAGCGUUCUCCGGAUUUAUUGGGUUUAAAGGGAGCGUAGAUGGGUGGUUAAGUCAGUUGUGAAAGUUUGCGGCUCAACCGUAAAAUUGCAAUUGAUACUGGCAGGCUGGAGUACAGUUGAGGUAGGCGGAAUGCGUGGUGUAGCGGUGAAAUGCUUAGAUAUCACGAAGAACUCCGAUUGCGAAGGCAGCUUACUAAACUGCCACUGACAUUGAUGCUCGAAAGUGUGGGUAUCAAACAGGAUUAGAUACCCCAGUAGUC